GACGAACGCUGGCGGCGCGCUUAACACAUGCAAGUCGAGCGAGAACCAGACCUUCGGGUCUGGGGACAGCGGCGAACGGGUGAGUAACACGUGGGUAAUCAACCCUCGGUACUGGGAUAGCCCGGGGAAACCCGGAUUAAUACCGGAUGGCCCUUCGGAUCUUCGGUUCCGAAGGAAAAGGUAGCUUCGGCCUCCGACCGAGGACGAGCCCGCGGCGGAUUAGCUUGUUGGUGGGGGUAACGGCCUACCAAGGCGGCGAUCCGUAGCUGGUCUGAGAGGACGAUCAGCCACACUGGGACUGGGACACGGCCCAGACUUCUACGGAAGGCAGCAGUGGGGAAUCUUGCGCUAAUGCGGGAAACCGUGACGCAGCGACGCCGCGUGAGGGAAGAAGGCCUUCGGGUUGUAAACCUCUUUCUGAAGGGACGAAGCUACUCGGGUUAAUAGCCCAGAGGGUGACGGUACCUUCAGAAGAAGCCCCGGCUAACUACGUGCCAGCCGCCGCAGUAA
rnacentral:rRNA from 1 species